CCUACGGGGGGCUGCAGUAAGGAAUAUUGGUCAAUGGAGGAAACUCUGAACCAGCCAUCCCGCGUGAAGGAUGAAGGGGCUCUGCCUUGUAAACUUCUUUUGUCUGGGGCGAAAAAGCUCGAUUUAUCGAGAACUGACGGUACCAGAAGAAUAAGCACCGGCUAACUCCGUGCCAGCAGCCGCGGUAAUACGGAGGGUGCCAGCGUUAUCCGGAUUCACUGGGUCGAAGGCGUCUGAGUACGGCUUAGUAGAAAGGCGGUGGCGUAACCAUGGAAUUGCCAUUGUUACUGCAGAGCUUGAAUGAGGUUGAGGUUGGCGGAAUGUGACAUGUAGCGGUGAAAUGCUUAGAUAUGUCAUGGAACACCGAUUGCGAAGGCAGCUGACUGGACCUAUAUUGACGCUGAGGCACGAAAGCGUGGGGAGCGAACAGGAGUAGAUACCCCGGUAGUC
rnacentral:rRNA from 1 species